AUUGAACGCUGGCGGCAGGCCUAACACAUGCAAGUCGAGCGGAUGAAGGGAGCUUGCUCCUGGAUUCAGCGGCGGACGGGUGAGUAAUGCCUAGGAAUCUGCCUGGUAGUGGGGGAUAACGUCCGGAAACGGGCGCUAAUACCGCAUACGUCCUGAGGGAGAAAGUGGGGGAUCUUCGGACCUCACGCUAUCAGAUGAGCCUAGGUCGGAUUAGCUAGUUGGUGGGGUAAAGGCCUACCAAGGCGACGAUCCGUAACUGGUCUGAGAGGAUGGUCAGUCACACUGGAACUGAGACACGGUCCAGACUCCUACGGGAGGCAGCAGUGGGGAAUAUUGGACAAUGGGCGAAAGCCUGAUCCAGCCAUGCCGCGUGUGUGAAGAAGGUCUUCGGAUUGUAAAGCACUUUAAGUUGGGAGGAAGGGCAGUAAGUUAAUACCUUGCUGUUUUGACGUUACAACAGAAUAAGCACCGGCUAACUUCGUG
rnacentral:rRNA from 1 species